UACGGAGGGAGCUAGCGUUAUUCGGAAUUACUGGGCGUAAAGCGCGCGUAGGCGGCUUUGUAAGUUAGAGGUGAAAGCCCGGAGCUCAACUCCGGAACUGCCUUUAAAACUGCAUCGCUUGAAUCCAGGAGAGGUGAGUGGAAUUCCGAGUGUAGAGGUGAAAUUCGUAGAUAUUCGGAAGAACACCAGUGGCGAAGGCGGCUCACUGGACUGGUAUUGACGCUGAGGUGCGAAAGCGUGGGGAGCAAACAGG
rnacentral:rRNA from 1 species